rnacentral:rRNA from 1 species
AACGAACACUGGCGGCAGGCUUAACACAUGCAAGUCGAGCGCCCCGCAAGGGGAGCGGCAGACGGGUGAGUAACGCGUGGGAAUCUACCCUUUUCUACGGAAUAACGCAGGGAAGCUUGUGCUAAAACCGUAUAAGCCCUUCGGGGGAAAGGCUUAUCGGGAAAGGAUGAGCACGCGUUGGAUUAGCUCGUUGGGGGGGUAAAGGCCUACCAAGGCGACGAUCCAUAGCUGGUCUGAGAGGAUGAUCAGCCACAUUGGGACUGAGACACGGCCCAAACUCCUACGGGAGGCAGCAGUGGGGAAUUUUGGACAAUGGGGGCAAGCCUGAUCCAGCCAUGCCGCGUGAGUGAUGAAGGCCCUAGGGUUGUAAAGCUCUUUCACCGGUGAAGAUAAUGACGGUAACCGGAGAAGAAGCCACGGCUAACUUCGUGCCAGCCGCCGCAGUAAGAC